rnacentral:rRNA from 1 species
UACGUAGGUGGCAAGCGUUGUCCGGAUUUAUUGGGUUUAAAGGGUGCGUAGGCGGUUUAUUAAGUCAGUGGUGAAAACCUGCAGCUCAACUGUAGAAUUGCCAUUGAUACUGAUAGACUUGAGUACAGACGAGGUAGGCGGAAUUUAUGGUGUAGCGGUGAAAUGCAUAGAUACCAUAAAGAACACCUAUUGCGAAGGCAGCUUACUAGGCUGUAACUGACGCUGAGGCACGAAAGCGUGGGGAUCGAACAGG